AAAUUGAAGAGUUUGAUCAUGGCUCAGAUUGAACGCUGGCGGCAGGCCUAACACAUGCAAGUCGAGCGGUAACACAGAGAGCUUGCUCUCGGGUGACGAGCGGCGGACGGGUGAGUAAUGUCUGGGAAACUGCCUGAUGGAGGGGGAUAACUACUGGAAACGGUAGCUAAUACCGCAUAACGUCGCAAGACCAAAGUGGGGGACCUUCGGGCCUCAUGCCAUCAGAUGUGCCCAGAUGGGAUUAGCUAGUAGGUGGGGUAACGGCUCACCUAGGCGACGAUCCCUAGCUGGUCUGAGAGGAUGACCAGCCACACUGGAACUGAGACACGGUCCAGACUCCUACGGGAGGCAGCAGUGGGGAAUAUUGCACAAUGGGCGCAAGCCUGAUGCAGCCAUGCCGCGUGUGUGAAGAAGGCCUUCGGGUUGUAAAGCACUUUCAGCGGGGAGGAAGGCGGUGAGGUUAAUAACCUC
rnacentral:rRNA from 1 species